GACGAACGCUGGCGGCGUGCCUAACACAUGCAAGUCGAGCGGGGUCCAUCCGGUGGCAACACCGGUGAAGACCUAGCGUCGAACGGGUGAGUAAUACGUCAGAAACCUGCCCUGAAGCUCGGGAUAAUCCGGGGAAACCCGAGCUAAUCCCGAAUCCCCUCCUUUGAUCGCAUGGUCGCGGGAGGAAAGAUUCAUCGCUACAGGAGGGUCUCGCGGCCUAUCAGCUAGUUGUUGGCGUAAUGGCCUACCAAGGCGUCGACGGGUAGCUGGUCUGAGAGGACGACCAGCCACACUGGGACUGAGACACGGCCCAAACUCCUACGGGAGGCAGCAGUGGGGAAUCUUGCGCAAUGGGCGAAAGCCUGACGCAGCAACGCCGCGUGCGGGAUGAAGGCCUUCGGGUUGUAAACCGCUUUCAGCAGGGACGAAAUUGACGGUACCUGCAGAAGAAGCCCCGGCCAACUACGUGCCAGCAGCCGCCGUAAAAC
rnacentral:rRNA from 1 species